rnacentral:rRNA from 1 species
UACGUAGGUGGCAAGCGUUAUCCGGAAUUAUUGGGCGUAAAGAGCGCGCAGGUGGUUGAUUAAGUCUGAUGUGAAAGCCCACGGCUUAACCGUGGAGGGUCAUUGGAAACUGGUCAACUUGAGUGCAGAAGAGGGAAGUGGAAUUCCAUGUGUAGCGGUGAAAUGCGUAGAGAUAUGGAGGAACACCAGUGGCGAAGGCGGCUUCCUGGUCUGUAACUGACACUGGGGCGCGAAAGCGUGGGGAGCAAACAGG